AAUGAACGCUGGCGGCAGGCCUAACACAUGCAAGUCGAGCGAGCGGCGGACGGGUGAGUAACGUAUGGGGAUCUGCCCGAUAGAGGGGGAAAACUACUGGAAACGGUGGUUAAUACCGCAUACUAUCGGCUGAACCCAUAUGGGAUUAGCUUGUAGGUGAGGUAACGGCUCACCUAGGCAACGAUCCCUAGCUGGUCUGAGAGGAUGAUCGGCCACACUGGGACUGAGACACGGCCCAGACUCCUACGGGAGGCAGCAGUGGGGAAUAUUGCACAAUGGGCGCAAGCCUGAUGCAGCCAUGCCGCGUGUAUGAAGAAGGCCUUCGGGUUGUAAAGUACUUUCAGUCGGGAGGCGGUACCGAAAGAGAAAGCACCGGCUAACUCCGUGCCAGCAGCCGCGGUAAUAC
rnacentral:rRNA from 1 species